UGCCUAGUGACUGGGGCAUAACUUUGGAGCUUGUGCUUCAUGGUUAAAGUGUACUAACCUUGUCACCUUACACCAACCACUUACCUCCUCUGAGCCCCUGUUUUGUGCUAGACAAACUUGUGAUAAUGACCAUACCUUCCCUGCCUGCCUUAGAAGGUGGUUAUAAAGCAUGAGAUUAAGAAUGUGGAAGCGGAGCCCCUGUGAGCUGCGAAUGGCUUGGUGAAACCAGUGGUUCAGCCUGGGGUGCAAAUUAGAAUCGCCUGGAGAGCUUUCCAAAUUGCCAACAUCUGAGCUCCACCCCAGAGAUGCUUAUUUCAGUAGCCUCGGGCGGGUCCUGGGCAUUAGCAGGUUUUAACGUCUCUCCAGGUGAUUCUAAAGUGCAGCCUGGGUGGAGGCCACUGGGGAGCUGGGGCUGCUUAGUGCCUGGUCCUCUCAGUGAGGGGUCCAUUUUCAUCUUGGGCUUUGAGUAAGAGGCAAUCCUUAAUAACUGAAAAAUGGCUGGAAAUGUGCUCACCACCAUGAAGGUAUAGAGGGAGUGAUUUUCCUGUGGGGAUGGGGAGAGGGGAGGUUGCAGCCCUCAGCAGAGGGCCUUUCUGGGGCCAUCCCAUGACCUCCAGGCAAAGACUGAGAACAACCCUGAGAGCAAGAGACCCUGGGCUGAGGACGAGCAGGAAUGACCUCAGGAUGUAAAUGGAGCCAGAACUAUCCUCUUGGACCUGCAGGACAGAAAAUGAGACAAGUGAAAACAGACAACAACAGGAGCCGCCACCAGCAAUUACAACUUCUGGUUCCAGCAGCCCUUUCACCAGGACUUUCCCUGACUCUCGGCGGGGCCUGACAGACUUUCUAAUUACGUGGUACCAGUGUUUGUCAUUGUAUUAAUUAAAGUCCUGUAUGUAAAGCAGCAGCAGCACCGUGGCCAGGCCUGAUGCUAUUAUUCCUCUCACGGCCGUUCCUCCUUUAGCGGUUUCCUAGAGAAUUAUCUUUCCAGCCUUGUGGGAGGAAAAAGAUGACACUUUCUUGAGUUACAUUGUAAUGGUGUGAUCUUGGGC